rnacentral:rRNA from 1 species
UUCGCAAUGCCCGAAAGGGUGACGAAGCGACGCCGCGUGGGUGAGGAAGGCCUUCGGGCUGUAAAGCCCUGUCAGGAGUUAAGAAAUGUAGACUCGCUAAUAUCGGGUCUAUUUGACAAAGGCUCCAAGGGAAGCCACGGCUAACUCUGUGCCAGCAGCCGCGGUAAUACAGGGGUGGCAAGCGUUGUUCGGAAUUAUUGGGCGUAAAGAGCACGUAGGUGGAUUUGUAAGUCAGACGUGAAAGCCUUCUGUUCAACGGAAGAAUUGCAUCUGAAACUACAAACCUUGAGUGUAGGAGGGGAGAAUGGAACUUCUGGUGGAGCGGUGAAAUGCGCAGAUAUCAGAAGGAACGCCGGCGGCGAAAGCGAUUCUCUGGCCUAUUACUGACACUCAGUGUGCGAAAGCUAGGGGAGCAAACGGGAUUAGAUACCCCGGUAGUCCUAGCCGUAAACGAUGGGCACUAAGUAGAGGGGUUUU